rnacentral:rRNA from 1 species
UAAUACUUAAGCAAUCUACCCUCAAGAGGGAAACAACCUGCCGAAAGGCGGGCUAAUGUCCCAUAAGACCACAGAACGGCAUUGUUCAGGGGUCAAAGCUCCGCAAGGGGCGCUAGAGGAGGAGCUUGAGUCCUAUCAGGUAGUUGGUGAGGUAACGGCUCACCAAGCCUUCGACGGGUAGCCGGCCUGAAAGGGUGAUCGGCCACACUGGCACUGAGACACGGGCCAG